rnacentral:rRNA from 1 species
AGGGUUUGAUCCUGGCUCAGAACGAACGCUGGCGGCGUGUUUAAGACAUGCAAGUCGAACGGGAUGAAGUUGUAGCAAUACCGCUUCAUUCAGUGGCGCACGGGUGCGUAACACGUGAGUUACAUGCCCUGCAGUGGGGAAUAGCCCGCCGAAAGGCGGAUUAAUACCCCAUGGUCCCGCGAGGGUAAAGGUGGCGCAAGCUGCCGCUGCAGGAUUGGCUCGCGGCCUAUCAGCUAGUUGGCGGGGUAACGGCCCACCAAGGCAACGACGGGUACCUGGUCUGAGAGGAUGAUCAGGCACACUGGAACUGAGACACGGUCCAGACACCUACGGGUGGCAGCAGUCGAGAAUAAUUCACAAUGGACGAAAGUCUGAUGGUGCAACGCCGCGUGGAGGAUGAAGGUCUUCGGAUUGUAAACUCCUGUCAUUGGGGAGUAAGACCUGACGGUGAAUAGCCGGCAGGGUUGAUAGUACCCAAAGAGGAAGGGACGGCUAACUUCGUGCCAGCAGCCGCGGUAAUACGAAGGUCCCGAGCGUUGUUCGGAAUCACUGGGCGUAAAGGGAGCGUAGGCGGCGUGGUAAGUCAGGUGUGAAAUCCCGGGGCUCAACCCCGGAACUGCACCCGAUACUGCCGUGCUCGAGGGUUGGAGAGGUAGCUGGAAUUCUCGGUGUAGCAGUGAAAUGCGUGGAUAUCGAGAGGAACACUCGUGGCGAACGCGAGCUACUGGACAACAUCUGACGCUGAGGCUCGAAGGCCAGGGGAGCAAAAGGGAUUAGAUACCCCUGUAGUCCUGGCAGUAAACGGUGUGCGCUUGGUGUGAGGGGAUUCGACCCCCCUUGU